rnacentral:rRNA from 1 species
CCUACGGGAGGCAGCAGUGGGGAAUAUUGCACAAUGGGGGAAACCCUGAUGCAGCGACGCCGCGUGAGUGAAGAAGUACUUCGUUAUGUAAAGUUCUAUCAGCAGGGAAGAAAAUGACGGUACCUGAGUAAGAAGCCACGGCUAACUACGUGCCAGCAGCCGCGGUAAUACGUAGGGGGCAAGCGUUAUCCGGAUUUACUGGGUGUAAAGGGAGCGUAGACGGCGUUGCAAGUCUGAAGUGAAAGGCGGGGGCCCAACCCCCGGACUGCUUUGGAAACUGUAUGGCUGGAGUGCAGGAGAGGUAAGUGGAAUUCCUAGUGUAGCGGUGAAAUGCGUAGAUAUUAGGAGGAACACCAGUGGCGAAGGCGGCUUACUGGACUGUAACUGACGUUGAGGCUCGAAAGCGUGGGGAGCAAACAGGAUUAGAUACCCUUGUAGUC